rnacentral:rRNA from 1 species
AUGGAUACAACCACCAGUAACAUUAUCCAAACUAAAGUGGAUGCAACUACUCCAAGGAACAACAUGUUCAACGUCAUGGCGGUCAUUUGCCGUGACCAUGAUGGGUUUUUCUUAGGAGCUUAUGUAAUUGUGUUUAAACACAUCAAUGAUCCACCUACAUUGGAAGCUCUGGCGAUUCAGGAGGCUCUAGCCCUUGCCGUGGAUCUCAAUUUACAAAGGAUUCAUGUUGCAUCAGACUACAAGGUGGUGGUGGAUGACAUCAAGCAGCUUAGGAUGACCGGCUACGGAGCUAUCACACAUGAAGAUCAUAGACUAUAG